rnacentral:rRNA from 1 species
UACGUAGGGUGCGAGCGUUAAUCGGAAUUACUGGGCGUAAAGCGUGCGCAGGCGGCCUUGCAAGACAGAUGUGAAAUCCCCGGGCUUAACCUGGGAACUGCAUUUGUGACUGCAUGGCUCGAGUGUGGCAGAGGGGGAUGGAAUUCCGCGUGUAGCAGUGAAAUGCGUAGAUAUGCGGAGGAACACCAGUGGCGAAGGCGACUACCUGGCCUGUUCUUGACGCUGAGGCGCGAAAGCUAGGGGAGCAAACGGG